GAGUGAAAUCUAACUAGAUGUCAUGUGUAUGAGUGAGUAUACCAACUAGAACCACAAUUGGAAUUUUAAAAGCCUAAGUAUUAUAUCCUUGUUAGAAGAUACAAAGACAAACACUCAUACGGACUUUGGCUACACCAUCAAAGCUUUGAGAAGCAAGAAGAAGCUUGGUUAGUGUUUUGGAGUCGAAUAUGACUUGAUGUGAUGUGUAUGAUUGAGUAUAAGAAAUUAAACCGCAACCGGAUCUUAAAAGCCUAGGUAUUGUUUCCUUGUUAGAAGAAACAAAGGCAAAGCCUCAUACAAACUUUAGCUUUACCAUCAAAGCCUUGAGAAGAAAGAAGAAGCUUGGUUAGUGUUUAGGAGUCAAAUAUUACUAGAUGUCAUGUGUAUGAGUGAGUAUGACAACUAGAACCAUAACCGGAUCUUAAAAACCUAAGUAUUGAAUCUUUGUAAGAAGAUACAAAGACAAAGACUCAUACGAACUUCGACUACACUAUCAAAGCUUUGAGAAGCAAGAAGAAGCUUGGUUAGUGUUUUGGAUUCGAAUAUGACUUGAUGUCAUGUGUAUGACUCAGUAUAAACACUAGAACCGCAACGGAUCUUAAAAGCAUAAGUAUUGUAUCAUUGUUAGAAGAUACAAUGACGAAGACUCAUACGGACUUCGACUACACCAUCAAAGCUUUGAGAAGCAAGAAGCAGUUGGUUAGUGUUUUGGAGUCGAAUAUGACUUGAUGUCAUGUGUAUGAGUGAGUAUAAAAACUAGAACCACAACAGAUCUUAAAAGCCUAAAUAUUGUAUCCUGGUUAGAAAAUACAUAGACAAUGUCUCAUACGAAAUUCGGCUAAACCAUCAAAGCUUUUAGAAGCAAGAAGAAGCUUGGUUAGUGUUUUGGAGUGAAAUCUAACUAGAUGUCAUGUGUAUGAGUGAGUAUACCAACUAGAACCACAAUUGGAAUUUUAAAAGCCUAAGUAUUAUAUCCUUGUUAGAAGAUACAAAGACAAACACUCAUACGGACUUUGGCUACACCAUCAAAGCUUUGAGAAGCAAGAAGAAGCUUGGUUAGUGUUUUGGAGUCGAAUAUGACUUGAUGUGAUGUGUAUGAUUGAGUAUAAGAAAUUAAACCGCAACCGGAUCUUAAAAGCCUAGGUAUUGUUUCCUUGUUAGAAGAAACAAAGGCAAAGCCUCAUACAAACUUUAGCUUUACCAUCAAAGCCUUGAGAAGAAAGAAGAAGCUUGGUUAGUGUUUUGGAGUCAAAUAUUACUAGAUGUCAUGUGUAUGAGUGAGUAUGACAACUAGAACCAUAACCGGAUCUUAAAAACCUAAGUAUUGAAUCUUUGUAAGAAGAUACAAAGACAAAGACUCAUACGAACUUCGACUACACUAUCAAAGCUUUGAGAAGCAAGAAGAAGCUUGGUUAGUGUUUUGGAUUCGAAUAUGACUUGAUGUCAUGUGUAUGACUCAGUAUAAACACUAGAACCGCAACGGAUCUUAAAAGCAUAAGUAUUGUAUCAUUGUUAGAAGAUACAAUGACGAAGACUCAUACGGACUUCGACUACACCAUCAAAGCUUUGAGAAGCAAGAAGCAGUUGGUUAGUGUUUUGGAGUCGAAUAUGACUUGAUGGCAUGUGUAUGAGUGAGUAUAAAAACUAGAACCGCAACGGAUCUUAAAAGCCUAAAUAUUGUAUCCUUGUUAGAAGAUACAUAGACAAAGUCUCAUACGGAAUUCGGCUAAACCAUCAAAGCUUUUAGAAGCAAGAAGAAGCUUGGUUAGUGUUUUGGAGUGAAAUCUAACUAGAUGUCAUGUGUAUGAGUGAGUAUACCAACUAGAACCACAAUUGGAAUUUUAAAAGCCUAAGUAUUAUAUCCUUGUUAGAAGAUACAAAGACAAACACUCAUACGGACUUUGGCUACACCAUCAAAGCUUUGAGAAGCAAGAAGAAGCUUGGUUAGUGUUUUGGAGUCGAAUAUGACUUGAUGUGAUGUGUAUGAUUGAGUAUAAGAAAUUAAACCGCAACCGGAUCUUAAGCCUAAGUAUUGUUUCCUUGUUAGAAGAAACAAAGGCAAAGCCUCAUACAAACUUUAGCUUUACCAUCAAAGCCUUGAGAAGAAAGAAGAAGCUUGGUUAGUGUUUUGGAGUCAAAUAUUACUAGAUGUCAUGUGUAUGAGUGAGUAUGACAACUAGAACCAUAACCGGAUCUUAAAAACCUAAGUAUUGAAUCUUUGUAAGAAGAUACAAAGACAAAGACUCAUACGGACUUCGACUACACUAUCAAAGCUUUGAGAAGCAAGAAGAAGCUUGGUUAGUGUUUUGGAUACGAAUAUGACUUGAUGUCAUGUGUAUGACUCAGUAUAAACACUAGAACCGCAACGGAUCUUAAAAGCAUAAGUAUUGUAUCAUUGUUAGAAGAUACAAUGACGAAGACUCAUACGGACUUCGACUACACCAUCAAAGCUUUGAGAAGCAAGAAGAAGUUGGUUAGUGUUUUGGAGUCGAAUAUGACUUGAUGGCAUGUGUAUGAGUGAGUAUAAAAACUAGAACCGCAACGGAUCUUAAAAGCCUAAAUAUUGUAUCCUUGUUAGAAGAUACAUAGACAAAGUCUCAUACGGAAUUCGGCUAAACCAUCAAAGCUUUUAGAAGCAAGAAGAAGCUUGGUUAGUGUUUUGGAGUGAAAUCUAACUAGAUGUCAUGUGUAUGAGUGAGUAUACCAACUAGAACCACAAUUAGAAUUUUAAAAGCCUAAGUAUUAUAUCCUUUUUAGAAGAUACAAAGACAAACACUCAUACGGACUUUGGUUACACCAUCAAAGCGUUGAGAAGCAAGAAGAAGCUUGGUUAGUGUUUUGGAGUCGAAUAUGACUUGAUGUGAUGUGUAUGAUUGAGUAUAAGAAAUUAAACCGCAACCGGAUCUUAAAAGCCUAGGUAUUGUUUCCUUGUUAC
rnacentral:sRNA from 1 species